rnacentral:rRNA from 1 species
GAUAAACGCUGGCGGCGUGCCUUAUGCAUGCAAGUCGAACGGUCCUUCUUCGGAAGGGUAGUGGCGAACGGGUGAGUAACGCGUAAGUGACCUGCCGAGAAGUGGGGAAUAACUGGUCGAAAGAUCAGCUAAUACCGCAUGAGCUCCCUGGUGUAAAGGCUGGGGAGGAAAGCCGAAAGGCGCUUUUCGAGGGGCUUGCGUCCGAUUAGCUAGUUGGUGGGGUAAAGGCUCACCAAGGCGAUGAUCGGUAGCUGGUCUGAGAGGAUGAUCAGCCACACUGGGACUGCGACACGGCCCAGACUCCUACGGGAGGCAGCAGCAAGGAAUUUUGGGCAAUGGGGGAAACCCUGACCCAGCAACGCCGCGUGGACGAUGAAGGCUUUCGGGUCGUAAAGUCCUUUUGUGGGGGACGAUAAUGACGGUACCCCACGAACAAGCCCCGGCUAACUACGUGCCAGCCGCCGCAGUAA